UACGAAGGGGGCUAGCGUUGCUCGGAAUCACUGGGCGUAAAGCGCACGUAGGCGGCUUCUUAAGUCAGGGGUGAAAGCCUGGAGCUCAACUCCAGAACUGCCUUUGAUACUGAGAGCUUGAGUCCGGGAGAGGUGAGUGGAACUGCGAGUGUAGAGGUGAAAUUCGUAGAUAUUCGCAAGAACACCAGUGGCGAAGGCGGCUCACUGGCCCGGUACUGACGCUGAGGUGCGAAAGCGUGGGGAGCAAACAGG
rnacentral:rRNA from 1 species